CGUGUAGGCGGCUUGACAAGUCAGAUGUGAAAUCCCUGGGCUUAACCUAGGAAGUGCAUUUGAAACUGUCAGGCUUGAGUAAGGGAGAGGAAAGUGGAAUUCCUGGUGUAGAGGUGAAAUUCGUAGAUAUCAGGAGGAACACCGGUGGCGAAGGCGACUUUCUGGCCCUAUACUGACGCUGAGACGCGAAAGCGUGGGUAGCAAACA
rnacentral:rRNA from 1 species